rnacentral:misc_RNA from 1 species
UUUUUAUAUUCACUGCUUUUACUAGAAAAUUUAUUUAAAGAAAUGAGUUGUGAAUCUAUGGCUUCAGAAAAUUUAUUUGAGAAAAGUUUAUUGCCUGUUUUAGAAAUGGAGAUUUGAAAUGAGGUUUGUUUGAUUUAUGCCUGAAUUACGAUUGAACAUUAUAUUUUUAAAUUAUGUUUGUGCACAACAUUUUAAAUUCAUUGUUUUUACUAAAAAGCUAAUUGAAUAACAGUUAUGAAUAAUUUUUAUUGUUUUGGC